rnacentral:lncRNA from 1 species
CUACACAUGAGACAUAGAUGACCAAAAGAAAACAAAGAUUCAACUUGAUUACAAAGAAAGAAGUUUUAUAAUUUACAAAAACAGAAAGAAGUUCUAUAAUUUAUUUUUUAUACUUACCUAAGUAAAUGUUUCAUAAUGGAAGAACUAUAGACAUUAACUAUCAUCAUAAAAUAAUGUAAACAGAUGCCCUCUCUAUUAUCUUAGUCACUAGUUUUUUGGGGUACAGUUGGAUGAUGAAGCAUAAUAUAUAUAUUAACAAUAAUUUAAAAAGGCACUUCUUCACUUUGGGAGGCCGAGGCAGGCAGAUCACGAGGUCAGCAGAUCGAGACCAUACUGGCUAACACGGUGAAACCCCGUCUCUACUGAAAACACAAAAAAUUAGCCGGGGGCGGUGGCGGGCGCCUGUAGUCCGAAGCUAGUCGGGAGGCUGAGGCAGGAGAAUGGCGUGAACCCGGGAGGCGGAGCUUGCAGUGAGCCAAGAUGGCGCCACUGCACUCCAGCCUGGGCAACGCAGCAAGACUCCGUCUCAAAAAAAAAAAAAAAAAAAAAAAAAAAAAGGGCACUUCUUAGGUUGCUUAGGCUAAAAAUUGAAAAUACCUGUUCA